UACAGAGGCCACAAGCAUUAGUCGGAAUCACUGGGCUUAAAGGGUCCGCAGGCGGUCCUCCAAGCGUCUUGUGAAAUCCCAUGGCUCAACCAUGGAACAGCAGGGCGAACUGGAGGACUUGAAGAAGGUAAGGGCCGCCGGAACAGUAGAUGGAGCGGUGAAAUGCGUAGAUAUCUACUGGAACGCCGAUGGUGAAGACGGGCGGCUGGGCCUUUCUUGACGCUCAUGGACGAAAGCGUGGGGAUCAAACAGG
rnacentral:rRNA from 1 species